rnacentral:misc_RNA from 1 species
GAAAUGCGAUACUUGGUGUGAAUUGCAGAAUCCCGUGAACCAUCGAGUCUUUGAACGCAAGUUGCGCCCGAAGCCAAUAGGCCGAGGGCACGUCUGCCUGGGUGUCACACAUUUGCUUGCCCUCAAACACUCACUCCUUGAUGAGGGGUGUUGGUUUUUGGGCGGAAAUUGGCCUCUCGUGCCGUGUUGUGCGGUUGGCGCAAAAGCGAGUCUCCGGCGACGGACGUCGUGACAUCGGUGGUUGUAAAAGGCCCUCUUGUUUUGUCGCACGUAAUUGUGUCAUCUAAGGAGCUCGAGGACCCUGAGGCGCUACACAAUUUGUUCGCCUUAACUGUGACCCCAGGUCAGGCGGGACUACCCGCUGAGUUUAA